AAUAUUGGACAAUGGGGGCAACCCUGAUCCAGCGACGCCGCGUGAGUGAAGAAGUAUUUCGGUAUGUAAAGCUCUAUCAGCAGGGAAGAUAAUGACAGUACCUGACUAAGAAGCCCCGGCUAACUACGUGCCAGCAGCCGCGGUAAUACGUAGGGGGCAAGCGUUAUCCGGAUUUACUGGGUGUAAAGGGAGCGUAGGUGGUUUGUCAAGUCAGAAGUGAAAGCCCAAGGCUCAACCUUGGGACUGCUUUUGAAACUGGCGGACUAGAGUGCAGGAGAGGUAAGUGGAAUUCCUAGUGUAGCGGUGAAAUGCGUAGAUAUUAGGAGGAACACCAGUGGCGAAGGCGGCUUACUGGACUGUAACUGACACUGAGGCUCGAAAGCGUGGGGAGCAAACAGG
rnacentral:rRNA from 1 species